AGUCGAGGGGUANAGUAGCAAUACUAGAGACCGGCGCACGGGUGCGUAACGCGUAUGCAAUCUACCUUUUGCAGAGGGAUAGCCCAGAGAAAUUUGGAUUAAUACCUCAUAGUAUAGUGAUACCGCAUGGUACUACUAUUAAAGUCACAACGGCAAAAGAUGAGCAUGCGUCCCAUUAGCUAGCUGGUAAGGUAACGGCUUACCAAGGCAACGAUGGGUAGGGGUCCUGAGAGGGAGAUCCCCCACACUGGUACUGAGACACGGACCAGACUCCUACGGGAGGCAGCAGUGAGGAAUAUUGGACAAUGGGCGCAAGCCUGAUCCAGCCAUGCCGCGUGCAGGAUGACGGUCCUAUGGAUUGUAAACUGCUUUUAUACGAGAAGAAACAUCCCGACGUGUCGGGACUUGACGGUAUCGUAAGAAUAAGGAUCGGCUAACUCCGUGCCAGCAGCCGCGGUAAUACGGAGGAUCCAAGCGUUAUCCGGAAUCAUUGGGUUUAAAGGGUCCGUAGGCGGUCUUAUAAGUCAGUGGUGAAAUCUCCCCGCUCAACGGGGAAACGGCCAUUGAUACUGUAGGACUUGAAUUAUUAGGAAGUAACUAGAAUAUGUAGUGUAGCGGUGAAAUGCUUAGAGAUUACAUGGAAUACCAAUUGCGAAGGCAGGUUACUACUAAUGGAUUGACGCUGAUGGACGAAAGCGUGGGUAGCGAACAGGAUUAGAUACCCUGGUAGUCCACGCCGUAAACGAUGGAUACUAGCUGUUGGGAGUAAUCUCAGUGGCUAAGCGAAAGUGAUAAGUAUCCCACCUGGGGAGUACGUUCGCAAGAAUGAAACUCAAAGGAAUUGACGGGGGCCCGCACAAGCGGUGGAGCAUGUGGUUUAAUUCGAUGAUACGCGAGGAACCUUACCAAGGCUUAAAUGUANAUUGACCGUUUUGGAAACNGAACUUUC
rnacentral:rRNA from 1 species